UACAAUCUGUCCCUCUUGUUGUUGCAGGUGAAGACAGUUCACUUCCACGGCAUGCUCAGCUCAGGAAGUUGCUGAUCUAUGAAAGGAACAGAAAAAAAAAAGGAUAAGGUCAGCAUGCAGGAAUCGUGGCUAGAAAAAUAAUUAAAUACAAAAAGGCUCCACAUGUAUAAUCAGAUCGUGGAACCAUUCUUGUGAAUAUCAAUUUGUCCCCAAUCAAGGAACCUAUACAAACAAACGCUAUACACAUCACUGCUAGAUACUACACCCAUUUUUUGUAUGCAUAUAGCACGGCUUACAUAAUUGGCUAACCACAAUAUUAUUAUUUUUUGAAAGGUCACAGGUCAAACUGCCCACCUGAACAUUUAGUUUACCAAAACAGCAAAGCAGAAGCUUACAUGUUUCGCGACACCACAGCCAGGAGGUUGUCGAGCACCGAAGGUACAGCGGGCAAAGCAUGCCAAAACAACAGCAGCUAGAUGGAAGACGAAAAUAUCAGGGCCUAGCGCAACACCACCUCCAAAGCACGAUGUUAGCGGCAAUGUUGAGCCACCAGCUGGAGGUGAUCACGUAAAAUACCUGAACA
rnacentral:lncRNA from 1 species